CCUACGGGAGGCAGCAGUGGGGAAUUUUCCGCAAUGGGCGAAAGCCUGACGGAGCAAUACCGCGUGAGGGAAGACUGCCUAUGGGUUGUAAACCUCUUUUUUCAGGGAGGAAUAAAAUGACGUGUACCUGAAGAAUAAGCAUCGGCUAACUCCGUGCCAGCAGCCGCGGUAAGACGGAGGAUGCAAGUGUUAUCCGGAAUCACUGGGCGUAAAGCGUCUGUAGGUGGUUUAAUAAGUCAACUGUUAAAUCUUGAGGCUCAACUUCAAAACCGCAGUCGAAACUAUUAGACUAGAGUAUAGUAGAGGUAAAGGGAAUUUCCAGUGGAGCGGUGAAAUGCGUAGAUAUUGGAAAGAACACCGAUGGCGAAAGCACUUUACUGGGCUAUUACUAACACUCAGAGACGAAAGCUAGGGUAGCAAAUGGGAUUAGAUACCCCAGUAGUCCUAGCCGUAAACUAUGGAUACUAGAUGUUGAACAGAUCGACCUGUGCAGUAUCAAAGCUAACGCGUUAAGUAUCCCGCCUGGGAAGUAUGCUCGCAAGAGUUGAAACUCAAAUGAAUUGACGG
rnacentral:rRNA from 1 species